CCUUCGAUAGCUCAAUUGGUAGAGCGGGGGACUGUAGAUUUAUAAUUGUGAUCCCCAGGUCGCUGGUUCGAAUCCGGCUCGAAGGA
rfam:Nematostella vectensis strain CH2 x CH6 NEMVEscaffold_605_Cont30727, whole genome shotgun sequence.